UACAGAGGGUGCGAGCGUUGUUCGGAAUUAUUGGGCGUAAGGCGCUGGUAGGUGGUUGUUAAGUCGCGUGUGAAAGCUCCAGGCUCAACCUGGAAAGUGCGCGCGAAACUGCCGAACUUGAGUGCCGGAGAGGGUCGUGGAAUUCCCAGUGUAGAGGUGAAAUUCGUAGAUAUUGGGAGGAACACCAGAGGCGAAGGCGACGACCUGGAAGGUGACUGACACUGAGCAGCGAAAGCGUGGGGAGCAAACAGG
rnacentral:rRNA from 1 species